CCUACGGGAGGCUGCAGUGGGGAAUAUUGCACAAUGGGCGCAAGCCUGAUGCAGCCAUGCCGCGUGUGUGAAGAAGGCCCUCGGGUUGUAAAGCACUUUCAGCGGGGAGGAAGGCGUUAAGGUUAAUAACCUUGUCGAUUGACGUUACCCGCAGAAGAAGCACCGGCUAACUCCGUGCCAGCAGCCGCGGUAAUACGGAGGGUGCAAGCGUUAAUCGGAAUUACUGGGCGUAAAGCGCACGCAGGCGGCUGUCAAGUCUGAUGUGAAAUCCCCGGGCUCAACCUGGGAACUGCAUUCGAAACUGGCAGGCUAGAGGCUUGUAGAGGGGGGUAGAAUUCCAGGUGUAGCGGUGAAAUGCGUAGAGAUCUGGAGGAAUACCGGUGGCGAAGGCGGCCCCCCGGACAAAGACUGACGCUCAGGUGCGAAAGCGUGGGGAGCAAACAGGAUUAGAUACCCCGGUAGUC
rnacentral:rRNA from 1 species